rnacentral:rRNA from 1 species
AGAGUUUGAUCAUGGCUCAGAUUGAACGCUGGCGGUAGGCCUAACACAUGCAAGUCGAGCGGUAGAGAGAAGCUUGCUUCUCUUGAGAGCGGCGGACGGGUGAGUAAUGCCUAGGAAUCUGCCUGGUAGUGGGGGAUAACGUUCGGAAACGGACGCUAAUACCGCAUACGUCCUACGGGAGAAAGCAGGGGACCUUCGGGCCUUGCGCUAUCAGAUGAGCCUAGGUCGGAUUAGCUAGUUGGUGAGGUAAUGGCUCACCAAGGCGACGAUCCGUAACUGGUCUGAGAGGAUGAUCAGUCACACUGGAACUGAGACACGGUCCAGACUCCUACGGGAGGCAGCAGUGGGGAAUAUUGGACAAUGGGCGAAAGCCUGAUCCAGCCAUGCCGCGUGUGUGAAGAAGGUCUUCGGAUUGUAAAGCACUUUAAGUUGGGAGGAAGGGCAGUUACCUAAUACGUGAUUGUUUUGACGUUACCGACAGAAUAAGCACCGGCUAACUCUGUGCCUGCAGCCGCGGUAAUACAGAGGGUGCAAGCGUUAAUCGGAAUUACUGGGCGUAAAGCGCGCGUAGGUGGUUAGUUAAGUUGGAUGUGAAAUCCCCGGGCUCAACCUGGGAACUGCAUUCAAAACUGACUGACUAGAGUAUGGUAGAGGGUGGUGGAAUUUCCUGUGUAGCGGUGAAAUGCGUAGAUAUAGGAAGGAACACCAGUGGCGAAGGCGACCACCUGGACUGAUACUGACACUGAGGUGCGAAAGCGUGGGGAGCAAACAGGAUUAGAUACCCUGGUAGUCCACGCCGUAAACGAUGUCAACUAGCCGUUGGGAGCCUUGAGCUCUUAGUGGCGCGGCUAACGCAUUAAGUUGACCGCCUGGGGAGUACGGCCGCAAGGUUAAAACUCAAA